UCAAUGAGGGUGAGAGUCCUGUUUGUCAUGUGCAGCCUUCUGUGCACGGUGUAUAUUUGCUGAGUCACACUCCUUGGCAUUGGAAUGCAAAGUGGGUGGUAAGUUUCAUGCAAAGGUAAAUAUGCAAUUGAGACUGAUAGCGCACAAGUACCAUGAGGGACAUAUGAAAAGGACUUUGAAAAGAGAAUUAAAUGAGUUUGUAUUUGCUAAACACAAAGUAAACAGACUUGAUUUCCUCAGUGAGAUUGUAGUGCUUGCUUAACAAUGGGUUUUGGCUGCAAGUGCAAUAAUUCUUGCUUUGUGUGCCAGUUUUUAUGUGGACAUUUGAUUACCUUUGCACAUGAAUGGUAAUUUUCCUGCGGGGUGUGGAUUGCAUAUGCAUGUAAUGAUUUGCAUGUUUGUUAAAUGUGUCUGGUGUAUUUGUUUGUGUCCUUGUCCUUGAGGUUGCUUUCUCCCUUGGGCUUACAUGCCCUGGCACACACAUUCUGGCAAAAUGCUUCUGCUUGACCCGUCUUGAAACACGGACCAAGGAGUCUAACAGAUGUGCAAGUUUGAAGGUGGUAUACCUGUGUGUGUAAUGAAAGUAUUGGCUGGGAUAUUUGCACCAGCAGCCGACUAAUUAGCAGACAGAGGUUUGAGUUGGAGCAUAUCUAUUAGGACCCGAAAGAUGGUGAACUAUGCUUGAACAGAAAGAAUUCAGAGGAAACUCUGAUGGAGGUUCGUAUCGAUACUGACGUGCAAAUCGUUCGUCAUAUUUGGGUAUAGGGGCGAAAGACUAAUCGAACCAUCUAGUAGCUGGUUCCCUCCGAAGUUUCCCUCAGGAUAGCUGGAGUUGCACAGUUUUAUCAGGUAAAGCGAAUGAUUAGAGGAAUUGGGGACAGAUGUGUCCUUGACCUAUUCUCAAACUUUAAAUGGGUAAUAUGUAGUGGUUGCUUGAUGGAACUUCUAAAAUGAAUGGCAAUAUUAGGUGGGCCAUUUUUGGUAAGCAGAACUGGCGAUGAGGGAUGAACCUAAUGCUGGGUUAAGGGGCUUAAUUAC
rnacentral:rRNA from 1 species